rnacentral:rRNA from 1 species
GUACACGCUGUGACUAGCAUAUCAAUAAGCGGAGGAAAAGAAACUAACAAGGAUUCCCCUAGUAACGGCGAGUGAAGCGGGAAGAGCUCAAAUUUGAAAUCUUAAAGGGUUUCCCUUUACGAAUUGUAGUUUAAAGAAGUGUUUUCUGUUGAGGUUUUGGUAAAAGUUCUUUGGAAUAGGACAUCAUAGAGGGUGAGAAUCCCUGUAUUUGACCUUUACUUUCAACUUUGUGAUACACUUUCAAAGAGUCGGAUUGUUUGGGAAUGCAGUCCAAAAUGGGUGGUAAAUUUCAUCUAAAGCUAAAUAUUGGCGAGAGACCGAUAGCGAACAAGUACCGUGAGGGAAAGAUGAAAAGAACUUUGAAAAGAGAGUUAAACAGUACGUGGAAAUUGUCAAAAGGGAAGCGUUUGACACCAGUGUUGUUUUUCUGAAAAUCAAUUAAAGAACUGUUUAUGCUAAGUUGUUUAGACUUUAUCAGCUAACUGUUUAGUUUUGAGCUUUUCUUUAAUGCACUUUUCAGUUAACAAGUCAACAUCAAUUUCUUUUGCUGUAAAAAAGCUUGAGGAAGGUGGCUUGAGAUUCGUCUUAAGUGUUUAUAGCCUCUUGCCUAUGCAGUCGGAGAGAUUGAGGUCUGCAGCGUAGAUCCUUCGGGGCUAAAUGCAUUUGUGCUAAGUUAUAGCAUUUUAUAGACAACUUGUUGACUAUGAUUUGUCUUGUAGCUUACUCGCUUAUGUUAUUUUACCUACGCUUAGGAUGUUGAAGAUGUAGCACAUCAU